CAGCAGCCGCGGUAAUACGAAGGGUGCAAGCGUUAAUCGGAAUUACUGGGCGUAAAGCGUGCGUAGGCGGUUUGUUAAGUCUGCUGUGAAAUCCCCGGGCUCAACCUGGGAAUGGCAGUGGAUACUGGCAAGCUAGAGUGUGUCAGAGGAUGGUGGAAUUCCCGGUGUAGCGGUGAAAUGCGUAGAGAUCGGGAGGAACAUCAGUGGCGAAGGCGGCCAUCUGGGACAACACUGACGCUGAGGCACGAAAGCGUGGGGGGCAAACAGGAUUAGAUACCCCGGUAGUCCCUGUCUCUUAUAC
rnacentral:rRNA from 1 species